rnacentral:rRNA from 1 species
AGUCACUGACAUUAGAUACCCCUGUAGUCCCAGCCCUAAACGAUGCGCGUUAGGUGUAUCGGUGACCACGAGUCACCGAGGUGCCGAAGGGAAACCGUUAAACUCGCUGCCUGGGGAGUACGGUCGCAAGGCUGAAACUUAAAGGAAUUGGCGGGGAGCACCACAAGAGGUGGAGGCUGCGGUUCAAUUGGACUCAACGCCGGAAAACUCAUCGGGAGCGACAGCAGUAUGAUUGCCAGGUUGAUGACCUUGCUUGACAAGCUG